CAGCAGCCGCGGUAAUACGAAGGGGGCUAGCGUUGUUCGGAUUUACUGGGCGUAAAGCGCACGUAGGCGGAUUGUUAAGUCAGAGGUGAAAUCCUGGAGCUCAACUCCAGAACUGCCUUUGAUACUGGCAAUCUAGAGUCCGGAAGAGGUAAGUGGAACUCCUAGUGUAGAGGUGGAAUUCGUAGAUAUUAGGAAGAACACCAGUGGCGAAGGCGGCUUACUGGUCCGGUACUGACGCUGAGGUGCGAAAGCGUGGGGAGCAAACAGGAUUAGAUACCCGCGUAGUCCCUGUCUCUUAUAC
rnacentral:rRNA from 1 species